GCCAGGAUGGGGACCCAGUUCCUCUGACUCCGGCCCGUGCUCUCUCCACGAGGCUAUGCUACUUCUCUAACUCUUUGAAUCCUGCACUCUCUAGCUAUUAGGGUGAUGGCCAAACCAGAGAUAAUCUGGAUUGAUGUGUUUGUUUUUGAGAGUAAGAACUAAUUUCAACCUUCAUUUGGUUAUUAAAAGCCAGUUCUGGGCCGGAGCCCUCAGCGGCUCGGUCACCUGUUCCCCGUUAACGGCUAGCCUCACCCUUCCCCGACCCGGGACGGUGUUUGCGGGCUGCUUCGGAGGAAGGCAAGCUGGAAAUGUGAAAGAAUUCCUGUCUCCUUCUGGCCCACGGUGCCCAGAGGAGGAGGCCCGGACGGACGGGCCGUCGGCCUCCCGCCCGGGUCAGAGGGCAGCCCGCCCAUCAGCGCAGCCCAACAUCACACGUCGUGGAAUGGACAGGUGAUGGCAGGAAAGCCAGGUGGAGCGCCAGGAUCAUCGGCAGCUUUUUGACUUUCAUCCUAAACAAACCACAACCAACAGUGAGUUUUCUAGGUCGCCCCAGAUCCUUGGCUCUGUCCGUCAUUAGGGCACGGCGCUGGAGGCCUGGGUUCUCAUUCAGUCCGUCGUAUUUACUGAGCGCUCAC